AGCAGUGUGGUAUUUCAGCCGUUCGUCCUCUUUUGUCCCGCCUAUUCACCCAGUUUUCUUCCAAGACCAUGUCACAUGUCCUCAAUACCUGAAGCUUCAAUUUGUCUUCAAGUAGCUGAGUCUGGAGAAAACCCUGCAUGGAUAGUAUUUCCCAUCUGUUAAUGACAUCCUUAUAAGGAGGGAGAUAUAAAGCCUGCUACAAGAUGCAUCUUUGAGGGAACUACUCCAGCUAUUGAUUCACCGGGGGAACAGAAGUGUCCGUCUCCAUCAGGAUCAGCAUAUUUUGACCACGAGCUGCUGUCCGGCUC